GUGGAAAAGGUUCACAAGGCCUAGUGAAUGCAGUUUAGAAAAUUUAGCCACCUAAUUUGUGGAUUCUAUUUUAGGAAUUGUUAUUUAUUGUCUUAGAUGUGUAUUAUGUUUCCUUACACCCAGAUUUUUGUUUUAGGAUGAGGACAUUUUCCUUUGGGAUGAGGACCUUGGAGUUUAAGAGUUCCACCCAGAUAAGAAUUUAUAUAUCUAUCAUUAAAAGUGAAGGGCUGUAGAUUUCACAACCAGCACUUGAUCCUCAACUUUCUGAAAGGUCUUGCUGUGGAGAUUUCACAACCAGCUCUGGAGAUUUUUCAGUUACUUACUGUGCUUAGAACUGGGCUUCGACUUCCUUGGUAUCCAAAUUGAAAGGUCUUGCUGAGAGAAAAAAGCUAGAGGACUUGACAAUUGGUCCAGUUCUCACUUUUACAACUGAAUCAAUGUUGUAAAUAGAGAAAAUUAAAUAGAAGAAAAGCAUAGCUUAACGAAAAGCUUUUGAAGAUGCAUAUACUCACAAUCAUGUUCUUACAUACUUUUGGUUGUUGUGCUUGCAAGAAGGACAUACAAAACUGGAGGUUGUGAUUUGAGCAGCACUGCUCCGCCUUGUACCAGGUGGAUUGAAAUGAUGGCUCCUGGAUUAGUAAUAUGUAAUUCUAGGAUGGUAGCUUGCUUAGAAUCUUCGUUAGCUUGGGUACUAGUAGUGUUUUUUUAUUUCAGUAAAAACUAGUGGUCUCUUUUGUAACUUCCUGUUGAUUCUAAAAUUUUUUCUCUUAUGUAAUAAUAUGUAAAGCAAGUAGAUAAUGUAAUAGUUGUUGUAAUGAUUUUGAUUUUUGGUAUUUUGUUAGAGCAUGUCAUGUGAUCAAUCACACUAUAUUUGGUGACAAGUUUAUAAAGAUUGGAUUAGUUGAUUUAAAA